CUGGCUGGCUCGAGGGAAGAUGCUCUCCGCAGCUCACCCAGGUGUCCCAUCCCAGGUAACGCAGGGACCAAAGCGGGGCCCACAGAUAAAACACGGUGUGCACGUGGUCUGGGCACCAAGGGUCCCGUGCUUUGCCGGACGUGCUGCGGAGCCCGCGGCACGUCCUACGUGAAUGCCUGUAUAAAAGCAUUGGCACGCGGCUUUCUGGCGUGGGUCUUUUCAGGCGAUGCAAAUGGCAUGUGCGCAAGUUCAUGGCUGCAAAAUCCUCGGUGCAUUGCCUGCUUUUCCAUGCAUCGUCCAUCACCCGGCUGUUUUGGAGCGGGGUGCAUGGUCCAAACCCUCAGGCUCUGUGCCCAAACCACCUUCUCCCAGGUUUCUGCUCCCUGUUAGCAGAUGGAGACUCCCAAUCUCAAAGGUCUGAGCUGCAGCUUUGCGGCAAGCUCGCGUCCGAGGCAAAAGCUCUCCCCAGGGCGAACGUGUUUCGCCCUCGCGGAGGUUUGCAAUUUGCACUAAAAUCGGGGUGUCUUCCAGCAGCGUCCUCUGCUCUCAGCAGUGUCGGAGCCCGCUAGCCUGUACCACCAGGAACUCUGCGAAAGGCGUGAAUCCAUGGAGAUUAGAGGGUUGGGUUGUUGGGUUUUUUUUUUCCCUCUCUCUCUCUCUCUUUCUUUCCAUAAUGCCAUUCAGGGCCUGGAAAGGCUAUCUCUGUUUCCCCGAACCAGUCCAUCUCCCGAGCACUGCUAUGCAAAUUGGUCAGUGCUUUUGCAGGCAACGUUAGGACUCGGAUGAGCGGGAGCUCCGGGGACUUGUCAGUCACCAGCUGUUUGCAGGCCUGUCAGCCCACCAGCUCCUUUCUGACGCCAAACUUUGCACCCUUGCCGAGGCCGGGGACCGGAGCGUCGGCUCGAACCAGCAGCUCCGCCAACAGGCAGCCGCAAACGUAAAGCAUGGCAUGGGAAUUAAUAAUAUUAGUAUGCUUGCUGGUGGAGAAACGGGCAAGCAGGGAGCAAGUGAUGGGGAGCAGUCGCCUGCUCUGUGCAUUUGCAUCCGUUUGGCGCCUUUCCCCCGUUUCUAGGGCCGUGAUUUGUGCAACUUUCCCUAAUCAGAGGAAAAAAAUGUGUAUGUCUUAAGGGAUGUUUAACUCGGCUCCUGGGAGGCUGAAGGAGGCUGUGUUGCAAAACAAACGAAAAAGAGUUAAAAAAAAUAGCCAGUUGCCUCUCUGCGAGGGAAUUAAAGCGGGUAGCAGAGGCUGCCAGCGUUGUGCAAGAAACGGGAGCUGAUGGAAGCAGGAGCCCCAGAGAGAGGGAAACGCUCAAAAAAAGCAGCGUUGCAAAAAAGGCAACAGGCAUCGCUGAAGAAGGGAGAUGGGAGCUCGAGCUACCCGAGUUAAACCCCGCCGUGAUGCCCCCGGGACUGGAAAACCCGGCUGCUGGGUCCAGGGCAAAGCUCAAGGCCGGAUGCCGCGGCAGAAAGCGGCAGCCUGGGAUGGAUUUAGGGCAAUCCCGGAGGAGCUCUGCACCUGGGUCUCGCCUAUUGUUUCUAUGAGCCACUGGAAACCCGGGUGUCUUUUCACCUGGUUUUUUUUUGCUGGCUUGGAGGAGGAAUAACAAAAAUAAAAGCAGCCCCACGUUGCCCUGACGGGGGAAGGCCUGGGAGGUAUCUUAGCCCUGGAGUUAGGAUGAUUUUUUCUUUCUUUCCUUCUUUCUUUCUUUCUUUUCGAGGUGCUCCAGGCAAAUCCUAAAGGGUUCGAGAUGCUCCAGGCCGGCCCCAACUGGGACGCCCGCCGGCGUCGAAGGAGCCACGCCGGGUUCGACUCGUGCGACCUAGGGACAGCCACGGUUUGCAGGCAGCCCUUCAAAAAGGAGGAUAACGCUCUCUGCGCCGAGCGCCUGCCUCCACUGCCGCAGAACGAGGAAAAGCGAGUCUUGCCAAGAAGCUCUUGGGGGCAGAAGUGAAGUUCCUUGAACCUUUGAAAAGUUUGAAAUUGGGCUGACUUUGCUGGCUGGACACCGAAAAUAUUUGGGAAGUUUCCUUCUAAAACGGGCCAAAUAACUGAGUCCCAAAUCACCGUGAAAAGGGACAAAGGGGAUUUACUAAAUCCAUUUAGUAAACCUAUCCAUUAAUAUAUCUUAAUUCUAACCCCCCCUCCCGCCAAAUAUCUUACAAAAUACAUGCACUGUCUUGUUUCUAAAAUCUCCUUCUCCUGCUGCUGCCUUGCAUUAGAUGUGGCGAUCUGAUUCCUCUCCUUUUCGUCUUUUUACCUGUUUUAUCCAGGACAGGAUUCAUCUUUCCCGGUGAAUCCUAUUCCCUUUAUUCCCACCAUUCUGCCCCAUGGCAGAUCCUUGGUCUCACUGGGGACAGCGGUUUGGGGGCAAAACCGUCCCUUGCAGCCCCGCCGUUCCCUGGGGCUGCUUUACACCCUGCGAGGCAUCUUCCUCGGCUUCGAGUUUGCUGCAAAAGCCCCUUUUCACGUCACCUGCUUUGGGACCAGCUGUAGCAUCGAGCCGGCUCCUAAGCCGGGAUGAUGCAAAUCCUCUGGGCACGCAGGUCUCCUUAUGCUGGAGACGUUGUAGCAAAAAAUACGUGAAAUAUCCUCUACACUGAUUGCAUCCCGGAGCUUUCAGGUUUUUUAACUGAAUUUAUUUGCAGCAAAACUCAUCUGUUGCUUGCAUAGGGUCCGGGGAAGUCUAAGUAGCAAUUAUGCUUUCCAAAGCCGCGGCUAUUUACUGGAGGAAAAAUAGAUGCGUUUUCAAAGAUGCUUUAUUGAACAUGCUCCAGCUGGGGAAAUCGGCUCCUUCGUCGCUCCGUCCGGCGAUCAGAUGGACCCCCUGAAGCCUGCCUCUGGGCCCGCUCCUUUCGGCCGCGCGACGGAGGUGGCAGCGGGGGGAUUUACGCCGGCCGGGGUUGAGAAAAGCCCCGAGCAGCUCGCCCCAAAUCCCUGCCCUCUCUGCGCUGCUCGAAGGCGCCCUUUAAAGGGGCUUUAUCCCGGCGCCGGCUGAGCGUGGCGUUACGCUGCUUUGCCCCCUGUGUGGCCGACGAAGGCGAUCGCCUGGCGUUUUACGCCGCUGCUCAGGUGUAAAGGAGCGCGCGCAAAGUCCGGGGCGGACGAGAGCUGCGGAGUCCUAAAGUGCCAUUUCAAUACGAAUCGUUCAGCUUUGUCAAAGACAUGCUAAAUAACCCCCCGGGCACGCAAGGACCUUCCAGGAGCCGGAGAAUAGAGCCGGUUUGUUAUGUAGGGCAUUAUCCAACCUCAAUUGCCUUAUUUUUUUUAAAUCCUACUUAAUAGUAUUAAUCUGCAAGCAUCUUUUAUGCUCUUUUCCAAGAUAGCGGCGCAGGCACGCCGCGCUUUCGCCCGACAGCUUGCUACUUUUUUCUUUUUUUUCCUUUUCCUCCCCCUUCAAGAAGCAGGCUCAACGUUUGCAGAAAACGCUUUUGACUGUCGCCAAGAGAAAAGUAAAGUUUGGGAGCGGAUGAAAGGAGCGGGCAGCGGCGGCUCGACGGCCGCGCCGGCCCGCAAGCCCGGCUCUGUUAGCA